GGAAGGGUGGCUGAGUCCGGUUUAAGGCACUCGACUCGAAAUCGAGCGUCCCGUUACAACGGGACCGUGGGUUCGAAUCCCACCCCUUCCGCCA
rnacentral:tRNA from 1 species